GGAGACGUGCUUGCCUGAUGAUCUGCAGAAAACAAGUGGUGACAAAGAGUGAGGAUGCAACAACCCUAAUCCCCAAUUCACCCAUCACCUGCUGGCGAGCUGCAUGCAGGAAGACUGCUGGGCUUCCUGAGAGAAGUGUCCUGGUUUUAGCUAGGACAGAGUUAAUUUUCCUCCUAGUAGUUGGCAGGGUGCUAUGUUUUGGAUUUAGGAUGAGAAGAGCGCUGAUAACACGCUGAUGUUUUAAUUGUUGCAGAGCAGUGCUUACACCAGGCCAAGGACUUUUCAGCUCCUCGCUCUGUCCUGCCAGCGAGCAGGCUGGGGGUGCAGCAGGAGCUGGGAGGGGACAGACCCAGGACAGCUGACCCAAACUGGCCAAAGGGGUAUUCCAUACCACCUGACGUCAUGCUAAACAAUAUAUAGGGGUGGCUGGCCGGGGUGGGGGGCCGGCUGCUCGGGGAUAGGCUGGGCAUCGGUCAACGGGUGGUGAGCAAUUGCAUUGUGCAUCACUUGUUUCGUACACAUUAUUAUUAUUACUAUACAUAUUAUUAUCUUAUUUUCUGUCCUAAUAAACUGUCUCUAUCUCAACCCACAGGCUUCAGUUUUCUCAUUUCUCUCCCCCAUCCCAGAAAGGGAGGGGGGAGGGUGAGCGAACGGCUGUGUGGUGUGUAGCUGCCGGCCAGGUUAAACCACAACAAGAAGUAACGUUUGUCUUGAAACAAAAAAGGAGAUCCCAGCCCCAUGAGCUGCACAAGAGAGGACUGUGUUGCCAUAGCCCCUGGAGUUACCUGCACGUGGAACCAGUGAAUCUCCAUCAGCUGGAAGAUACAGCAGGAGAGGAGAGGAACUGCAUUAAAGUCUGUCAGGCCGGGACAUCAUGGUGGACUCAGGCUGGAAAAUCGUGUAAUCUCAAGAGCAGUAUUUCUGAAAGGGCGUCUUACAUAAAACUGAAUUUUGCAUGUGAGUUACCUAUAUACUUUGGUAAGUGUUUUAGAGCAAUUAGAAAAAAUGGCAUAUGGUAA
rnacentral:lncRNA from 1 species